rnacentral:rRNA from 1 species
UACAGAGGUCCCAAGCGUUUGUUCGGAUUCACUGGGCGUAAAGGGUGCGUAGGUGGCCGGGUAAGUCUGACGUGAAAUCUCCGAGCCUAACUCGGAAACUGCAUCGGAUACUAUCCGGCUUGAGGAUUGGAGGGGGGACUGGAAUACUUGGUGUAGCAGUGAAAUGCGUAGAUAUCAAGUGGAACACCAGUGGCGAAGGCGAGUCCCUGGACAAUUCCUGACACUGAGGCACGAAAGCUAGGGGAGCAAACAGG